GACGAACGCUGGCGGCGUGCUUAACACAUGCAAGUCGAGCGAGGUCCAACUUGUCGCAAGACAAGUGAAGACCUAGCGGCGAACGGGUGAGUAACACGUGAGCAACCUGCCCCGAAGACUGGGAUAACACCGGGAAACCGGUGCUAAUACCGGAUGCCCUCAGAGAGUCGCAUGGCUCAUUGAGGAAAUGGAUUCCGCUUCGGGAGGGGCUCGCGGCCUAUCAGCUUGUUGGUGGGGUAACGGCCUACCAAGGCUCCGACGGGUAGCUGGUCUGAGAGGACGACCAGCCACACUGGGACUGAGACACGGCCCAGACUCCUACGGGAGGCAGCAGUGGGGAAUUGUUCACAAUGGGCGCAAGCCUGAUGACGCAACGCCGCGUGGAGGAUGAAGGUCUUCGGAUUGUAAACUCCUGUUGCCCGGGACGAAAGCUUCGACCUAAUACGUUGAAGUCUGACGGUACCGGGUGAGGAAGCCCGGCUAACUCUGUGCCAGCCGCCGC
rnacentral:rRNA from 1 species